AUAGUUUGAUCCUGGUCCUAACUGUUUCCUGACGGCGUGGAUAAGACAUGCAAGUCGGACGAGAAACUUUUGGAGCUUGCUUUGGAGGUUUCUAGUGGCGGACGGGUGAGUAACACGUGAGCAACCUGCCCUAAAGUGGGGGAUAGCCCGAGGAAACUCGGAUUAAUACCGCAUGUGAUGGUAACAUUAAAGGCGGCUACUUUGUAGCUGUCGCUUUGGGAUGGGCUCGCGGCCUAUCAGCUAGUUGGUGAGGUAAAGGCUCACCAAGGCGAUGACGGGUAGCUGGUCUGAGAGGACGACCAGCCACACUGGAACUGAGACACGGUCCAGACACCUACGGGUGGCAGCAGUCGAGAAUCAUUCGCAAUGGGGGAAACCCUGACGGUGUGACGCCGCGUGGAGGAUGAAGGCCCUAGGGUCGUAAACUCCUGUCAUCAGGGAGUAAAUACUUAUAUAGUAACUGAUAUAAGUCUUGAUAGUACCUGAAGAGGAAGGGACGGCUAACUUCGUGCCAGCAGCCGCGGUAAUACGAAGGUCCCAAGCGUUGUUCGGAUUUACUGGGCGUAAAGCGUCUGUAGGCGGCGCGGUAAGUCAGAUGUGAAA
rnacentral:rRNA from 1 species